rnacentral:rRNA from 1 species
ACACAUGCAACUCGAACCGCAGGACGGGGGCAACCCUGGUGGCGAGUGGCGAACGGGUGAGUAAUACAUCCGAACGUGUCCUGUAGUGGGGGAGAGCCCGGCAAAAGCCACAUUAAUACCGCAUACGCUCUACGGAGGAAAGGGGGGGAUCUUAUGACAUCCCGCUACUGGGGCGGUCGAUGGCUAAUUAGCCAAUUAUCGGGGUAAAGGCCUACCAAGGAGACGAUCUGUAUGUGAUCUGAAAGGACGACCAACUCCUCUGGGACUGAGACACGGGCAAUACUCCUACGGGAGGCAGCAGCGGAUAAUUUUGGACCAUGUGGGUAACCAUGAUCCUACGAUGGCGCAUGUCUUUCGAAGGCCUUCAGGUUGUAAAGCACUUUAGACCAGACAGCUAACUUCGUGCCUAAUACCCCCGCCGGAUGACGGAAAGGGGAUAAUUUGCUCCGAAUUACUGGGUGUCAACCGCCCCGAUGCUACGUAGAGUGCAGGGGUGAAUCGGACUUACCGCACCUGCGGCGUGCGUUGCAGAUCCGCUAAUACAGAUAUGAAAUCACCUAACUGAACCUCCGAACGUCAAUUGGAACUGCCUAGAUAUUCUAUGGAACACGGGGGUAGAAUUCCACUUGCAGCACCGAAACGCGCACUGAUGUGCAAGAGUACGGAUGGCGAAGGCGACUACCUGCGCUGGUAGUGACGCUCAUGCACGAAAGCGUGGUGAGCAUACAGGAUCAGAUACCCUGGACGUGCCAACCGUAAAUGAUAUGCCGUCGUUGUAGCGUGGUCAAUGACUUGGUAACGUCGCUAAGGCGUACAGUUGACCGCCUGGAGAGUACGGUAUCAAAAUCAAAAGUAAAGGGAAUUGACCGGGACACGCACAAGCGGUGUAUUAUAAGUAUUAAUUGGAUGCAACGCGAAACACCUUACCUACCUUUGACAUAUAGGCAAUCCAGCUGAUGUCUUUCAGUUCCCGAAACGCCAGAAUAACACAGGUGCUGCAUUGCUCAGGUCAGCUCGUGUCGUGAGAUGUUGGGUUACGGAACGCAACCAGCGCUAUCCUUGUCCCUAGUUGCUACGCAAGAGCACUGUAGGGAGACUGCCGGUGACAAGCCGGAAGGAGGUGGGGAAGACGUCAAAUCCUCCUGGCCCUUACCGGUAGGGCUCACCCCGUCAUACAAUGGUUGCAACAGAGGGUCACCCAGCCACGAGGGGGAACCAAUUCCACAAAAGCCAUCUCAGUUCGGAUCGCACUCUGCAACUCGAGUGCGUGAAGCUGGAAUCGCUAGUAAUCGCAGAUCAGCAUGCCGCGGUGAAUACGUUCCCGGGCCUUGUACACACCGCCCGUCACACCAUGGGAGUGGGUUUUACCCGAAGGGGUUGCUCUAACCGCAAGGAGGCAGGUCACCACGGUAGGAUUCAGGACUGGGGUGAAGUCGUAACAAGGU